AAUCCAUGGUGAGGGCAAUCACGUUCAUACUUCUUAAAACGUUCCCAAGCUUCAUAGAAAGAUUCAGUUGGCUCUUGUUGAAAGGUUGAGAUCUUCGUUCUCAAAUU
rfam:Eutrema salsugineum unplaced genomic scaffold scaffold_21, whole genome shotgun sequence.